UUAUUAUUAUUGCUGUUUGACAGAUGAAAAACUGACAUGGAGAAAAGUUAGACAAUUCCUCCAAAUCACAAAGAUAGUGUUGUACCAGUAUAUACUUCUGCCAGUAAUAGAUGGGUGGGCUGCUGAUGCCUCAAAAUGUAAGUAUUUUCAAACUUUUAAAUUUUAGCCCAUUUAACAUAAUUUAAAAAUUAUGUCUCUGUGUGAUUUUAGUUCCAUUUCCCUUAUUAUAUAUAAGACUGAACAUCUUGGCAUAUGUUUAAGGGCCAUCUGCAUUUCCUUUUCUGUGCACUGUCAGCUUAUAUGCUUUGCCCAUUUUUUCUAGUAGAUGGUUAGUGUUUUUCUUAUUGAUUUGUAUAUAUUCUGUAUUACUCCUUUAUCACAUUGCCACAAAGAAAUGCCUGAGAUGGUGUCAUUUAUAGAGAAAAGAGGUUUAAUUGGCUCACAGUUCCACAGGCUAUACAGGAAGCAUGGCUGAGGAGGCCUCAGGAAACUUAACAAUCAUGGCAGAAGGUGAAGGGGAAGCAGGCACAUCUACACAUGGCCAGAGCAGGAGGAAGAGAGAGAAGGAAGAGGUGCUACACCCUUUUAAGCAACCAGAUCUUGUGAGAUCUCACUAUCGUGAGAAUAGCAAGGAGGAAAUCUGCCCCCAUGAUUCAGUCACCUCCUGCCAGACCCCUCCUCCAACAUUAGGGAUUACAAUUCGACACGAGAUUGCCGGUGGGACACAAAUCCAAACCAUAUCAUAUUCUUUAUACAUUUGGGAAAUUAACUUUUUUCUGUAAUAUGAUUUACAAAUAUUUUUCUCAGAUUGGCAUUUGUUUUUUGACUUUUCAUAUUGUGCAUUUUGCCAUGGGAAGUUUUUUUUGUCAUUAAAUUUACCUAUUCUUUCAUUCAUAUGGCUUCUGGGUCCUAUAUUAUACUUAGACCUUUACCAUUCUGAAAUUAUGUAAGAAAAAUUCUCUCAGGGUUUUUUCCUAGUAAUUUUAAGACUUUACUUUUAAUAUUUUGGAUUUAUCCAGAUGUAGACUAUAAGAUAAGGAUCCACAUUUUUUCCCCAGCUCUACAUUUUGCUGCUAGAAGAUUUUACAAAAUUUUGCAAUUACUUAGUAACUUACAUUUCUUCCCAAUUGAUUUUGAAAUCUGUAAGAGCAGAAACUUUGAUUUCAUAUUUUUAUUCUCUCACAUGCCUGCCCUUUAAUGCACUUCAACCCCAGCCCCAAGUUUUGCCUAGUACUUGGCAGUUAGGUAGUUGUUACUUCUGCAUCUCUUGACUGCUGGGGAGGAAAGAUUCCACCUGAGUUAAGGCAAGUCCUACCCAGGAUGUGGCUGCAAAUGAGACUGCAAAGUUCUCGACCGAUGUCUUUUCAUUAAACUCUGGCUUUUACCAAGUACAAGUACCAAGUGAGUCAUACCGACACAUGUAGAGGAUGGCAUCCUGAGGGGAAAAGAAUUAUAGUGGAAAUAACCAAGGCUGCUUGGAGAAAAGCUUCUCAGCUGGCACUGCAGAACAGCAGCCACUGCCACAGCAAACAGCAAAACAAUAACAAGCUUACUUGCAGAAGGUGGGAAGCUGCAGACGUAAAUGCAGGCUCCCUUCCCAGGCUACCAGCAGUCCCUGGGGAUGAAGUAGUCUAAAUGGGCAGCAGUUGUGGAGUCCUCCCCGCUCACAGGAAUGGAAGAUGUCACUCACUAGCAGAAGUGCUCUGGGGUGGCAAUGAGGAGUACUGUCUUUGGACUCUGACAGGAACAUCUGGAUGGCACCAGGCUCAGGGAGACGGGUCUUGUGUGUCCUGCUAAGCACUAACAGCAAUAAUUGAGCAGCAGCAAUCUGCCUCACAUCAUUCUAGGCCCUAGGAGGGCACAAAGUUGGUUCUUGGCUCAGGUUAUCAGGAAAGUAACGUAUGUGCGUACAAAUAAAGUGUCCAACAGCAGAAAGGGAUGCCCUGAACAGUCCAGGUUGCACAAAGGAGUAUGGACAAACAAGUAGUUUCAUCCAGCUGGGAGCACUAGGAAAGCUCAGAAGGAGGAUGCCUCCAGGAGCCAGUGAGUGUAUUCUGUCACCAGGUGCCUUGGAGAGUGGAGGAUCUGGAGGGCACUUUUUGAGGCUGAUAGGAAGAAAGCAGACGGGUGGAGUGGUAGAUGGAAUGACGCCCUCACCCUCUGCAAUGUUCACAUUCUAAUCCCUGAGAUAUGUGAAUAUGUUACUCUAGCUGACAAAAGGGACUUUGCAGAUGUGAUUAAGGAUUUUGAGCUGGGGAGGUGACUCUGAAUUACAUGAAUGGGCCCAGUAUAAUCACAAGGGUCCUUAUAAUAGGGAGACUGGAGUGUCAGAGUCACAGAUGAGCUGUGAUGAUGGACGCAGUGGUGAGAGAGAGAUGUGAAGAUGGAAGGAGAGGGCCAUGGGCCAAGGAAUGUGGGUGGUCUCUAAAAGCUGGAAAAGGCAAGAAAAUGGAUCCUCCCCUAGAGACUCCAGCAGGAACAAAACCCUGCUGACACCUUGACUGUAGGACUUCCAACCUCCAGAACUAUAAAAUAAUAAAUUCAUGUUGUUUUAAACCACUAAGAUUGUCGUAAUUUGUUACAACAGCCAUGGGAAAUGAGCACAGGUGGAUUAGACACUUCAAGAGAUGUAAUUUCUUUGUGUAAUUCUUUCUGGGAAGCUCCAUGAA
rnacentral:lncRNA from 10 species